GACGAACGCUGGCGGCGUGCUUAACACAUGCAAGUCGAACGGAAAGGCCCUGCUUUUGUGGGGUGCUCGAGUGGCGAAAGGGUGAGUAACACGUGAGUAACCUGCCCUUGACUUUGGGAUAACUUCAGGAAACUGGGGCUAAUACCGGAUAGGAGCUCCUGCUGCAUGGUGGGGGUUGGAAAGUUUCGGUGGUUGGGGAUGGACUCGCGGCUUAUCAGCUUGUUGGUGGGGUAGUGGCUUACCAAGGCUUUGACGGGUAGCCGGCCUGAGAGGGUGACCGGCCACAUUGGGACUGAGAUACGGCCCAGACUCCUACGGGAGGCAGCAGUGGGGAAUAUUGCACAAUGGGCGGAAGCCUGAUGCAGCAACGCCGCGUGCGGGAUGACGGCCUUCGGGUUGUAAACCGCUUUCGCCUGUGACGAAGCGUGAGUGACGGUAAUGGGUAAAGAAGCACCGGCUAACUACGUG
rnacentral:rRNA from 1 species